GAAGGUAUAGCUCAGGUGGUAGAAUGCAGGCUUAGCAUGCAUGAGGUCCUGGGUUCAAUCCCCAGUAUCUCCA
rnacentral:tRNA from 1 species